ensembl:lncRNA
CUGUUAGGCAGUCUCAGUGGUCAAAGAUUAAUUGGUACAAGAGAAGAGUGUUUAUUCCUUUCCCUCAAGUCAGAUGGGUGCUGAAGAGGAGGCUGGCUCCAUGUUGUAGCUCGGAGCAGAGGUCGUAGAGCUCAGAGUUUCUGUAGAUCAGAAAUCCAGGCACUGAGGGGUUGGCCUCUCUGCUAAGGGUUUCACAGGACUGUGUUGGCCAAGGACUACAGUUUUCAUCUGGCACUCAAGAUCUUCUUCAAAGCUCACAGCCUAUGGACAGAAUUCAUUUCCUUACAGAGGUUCUCCAGUCCAUUCCACAGAUGAGUAUCAAGUUAUAUUUCAAAAGCACACGUCUGCUUCUGCUUCUUGCCAGCUUUCAAUGACUCUCAACUGACGCCAUGAGAAAGGUCUGCCCACCCAGCUUCUGCCUCCACUACCUAGCUCUACAUGAAUCUCCACAGAUGAUCUUUUAAACAUAUUUUGAGGCAUAAUUCACAUAUGAUAAAACACAUAGCUAC